rnacentral:rRNA from 1 species
AGUGAACGCUGGCGGCGUGCCUAAUACAUGCAAGUCGAACGGAGAUUAAGUAGCUUGCUAUUUAAUCUUAGUGGCGCACGGGUGAGUAAUAUAUAGCUAACUUGCCCAUUACUAAGGGACAACAGUUGGAAACGACUGCUAAUACCUUAUACUCCGUAUCUAUAUAAGUAGAUACGGGAAAGUUUUUCGGUAAUGGAUAGGGCUAUAUCGUAUCAGCUAGUUGGUAAGGUAAUGGCUUACCAAGGCUAUGACGCGUAACUGGUCUGAUAGGAUGAUCAGUCACACUGGAACUGAGACACGGUCCAGAAUCCUACGGGAGGCAGCAGUAGGGAAUAUUGCUAAAUGGGGGAAACCCUGAAGCAGCAACGCCGCGUGGAGGAUGACACUUUUCGGAGCGUAAACUCCUUUUCUUGGGAAAGAAUUAUGACGGUACCCAAGGAAUAAGCACCGGCUAACUCCGUG